CUUCCGGUGUCUUCGUGGCAGACGUCUUGAUUGUUGAUGAGGCUGUGGACCUGGUCAAUAGCUCCGCUGUACGGUGUUGAGAAAGAGGUGAGGGGUCUAGGAGGCGAAAGUGGAGGGUUUAUGCGCACUACACAGGGACGGGUCUUAGGGACGGAGACGACGACGCCGCUUGCGGGGAGUAACCGUGCCGACUCCGACCCGGUCGCUGGACUGUCGACGCUCCGCUCCGCGCAAAGGCUCCGAUGGCGGCUCCUGCACUGAGGGACCAACCUCAGGGCAGUGUGACCUUUGAGGAUGUGGCCGUGUACUUCUCCUGGGAGGAAUGGUGUCUUCUUGAUGAGGUUCAGAUACACCUGUAACUUGAUGUCAUGCUGGAGAACUUUGCAGUUGUAUGCAUGCUGGGUUCUUUUCCUGAGUUGAGGAUGAAGAGAUGACUUCUGAACAGAGUGUAUCUGAAGAAGGAGUGUCACAGAUGAGGACCCCCAGGGCAGGUUUGUCUCCUGAGAAGACCCAGCCCUGUAAAAUGGGCAUUGCAGUCUUGAGAGACAUUUUGCACUUGGCUGAAGAGCAAGGAACAGAUAGGGAGCAGAAAGCAUACAGAUGUGGGGCAUGUGGGAAACAGUUCUAUUUCACUGAAAACCUUCAAGAGCACCAGAAGCAGCACAUCAGAGAGAAUCCCAUACAAUAUGGUAUGCAGAGACCCUCAUUUUGGAAAAGCUGCCCAAUCCACACAAUAGGGAAUCUACCUACCUACAUGGAGAUUGGGAAUGACUUCGUGGCCAACAUGGGAGUUCAGCCACAGGCCAUUAUUACCAGGAAGAAAUGAAAAAACAGUAAAGAGUGUGAAGCUGUAUUUCACAGUGGAAAAUAUCAUCACAGCUGGCGAGAAGGCACGAAAGCCUCCAGCCACACAGAAAUACUUGUUCAGGAUGAAAGAGUCCUUACUAGUGUAAGGUUGUGUGCGUACAGCAAAUGUGGGAAAGCCUACACCCAAACAUGUAAACUUAUUCAGCCUGAGCAAGUUCACACUGGAGAAAGGCCUUACUAAUGCAGCCAUUGUGGAAAUUAUUUUAGCCACAAAUCUGGUCCCCUUGGACAGCAGAGAGUUAACUGUGGAAGAACACUCUGUGACUGCAGUGAAUGUGGCAGAUCCUUUAGCCUAAGGAAGUACCUCAGAGCACAUAGGAAGAUCCACAGUGGAGAAAAGGCUUAUGAAUGCAAGGAAUAUGCUAAACCUUUCAUUGAAAAAUGCAUGUUAAUUGAGCAUCAGAGAGUUCACACUGGAGAAAAAGCUUAUCGAUGCACCCAGUGUGGAAAAUCUUUUGCCCGCAAAUCCAAUUUCCUUGCACAUCAGAGAGUUCACACUGGAGAAAAGCCUUAUGAGUGCAGUGAAUGUGGGAAAUCUUUUGUUGCUAAGGGUGGCCUCCACUAUAAUGAGAGAGUUCACAAUGGAGAAAGGCCUUAUGAGUGCAGUGAAUGUGGGCAUUCUUUUACUAGUCGAUCCUCUCUCUAUGAUCAUCACAGAGUUCACACUGGAGAAAGGCCUUAUGGGUGUACUGAAUGUGGGAAAGCCUUUAAGCAAAGACAGCUCCUCCGCAUCCAUAGGAAAAUCCACACUGGAGAAAAGCCUUUUCAGUGCAAGGAAUGUGGUAAAUCUUUCACCCAAAAGUGCCACUUGCUUAAACAUCACAGAGUUCACACUGAAGAAAGGGCCUUAUGAAUAUUGCAAACGUGGCCGGCAGUGAUAUUGAAGGAGUUUCGGGUGGUAAGAGAGUGAGAAGAACCCGUGCAGCUAAUGGACCCUUUCUAGAGAGGAAACUGAGACACAGAGAUGACGUGUCAUCUGUUUGUGAUCUCCCAGAAAUGGACAGUGAUCUGGGCUUCAAUGCCAGGUUGCCUGGUUCAGGAUAUCGGGAGUCUGGUCACUUCACUCAUCCUCUGGCCCCACCUCCAGGUUUGGGGACUGAAAGAACACCUUGUCAAUCCUGACACUUCUAUGCCCCGACACCCACACAAGGAGCCCUGCUCACACCCCAGCCCCAUGCUGAUGGACAGGAUUAUCUUUUCUCUGGGAACCAAUAUUGAUGACUUUCCUGUGACUGACUCCAUUUAUGUAUCCAACAAAUCCAGUGCUGUGAUUCAGUUAUUAUUAUUGGCAUUUGUGAAAGAAGGGGUGUCCAGCUCAGAGAUGUUGAAGGACUUCCACAAGGGCUCAUUAAUGCCAGGCCUUUGAUGAGAGUGGUUCCUCUACACCCUGCACCCGUCCACUGUCUUCUCUCCUGCCCCUCUGAGCAGGGCCUCCACUUGCUGUGUCCUGACCAUGAACUACCCACAUCUGACAUCUGCAUCACUACCAGGGUCUCCAGCUUCAUUUUCACCAGUACACAUCUCCCGGAAACACCGUCCUGCUUGGGAAGUUCUCCACAGGGACAGCAGCACUAAGCCAGGCACUCUGGACUGGUCAUUGGUGUCACCCCAGAUUUGACACGGGCUCUACCGCCAUAUGCAGUGAUUCGUUUCCAAGGUCCUGUCCAUCUUUACAUACCCAGCUCAAGAUGUCCCUGUUGCCCUGUUAUGUGGUUGACCCACUCACUGUUAUGGGCAGUGUGAGGGACACGGAAGGACUAAGAAUGUCCAGUGUGGCCCUACGUGACCUGGUCUCCAAGCAUCCUCUUCCUAAGCCCUUGAUCCAUUGCCUCACUGUUCCUCCCAUCCCUCGAGAAAAAGUGUUAACUCACCAAAAUGAUGAUUGUUAAUUAGCAAGAACUUGCCCUCCCUGCCUUGGGACCCACACUUGAUCAACCUACCUUAAAAGCUACGACUGAACGUAGGCUGGCCCCUCCCAUGAAGACUUAAAAACUCAUGUACAGGGCUUCCCUGGUUGCACAGUGGUUGAGAGUCCGCCUGCCGAUGCAGGCGGUUCAUGCCCCGGUCCGGGAGGAUCCCACAUGCCGGGGAGAGGCUGGGCCCAUGAUCCAUGGUUGCUGAUCCUGCACGUCUGUAGCCUGUGCUCCGCAACGGGAGAGGCCACAAUAGUGGGAGGCCUGCGUACCGCAAAACAAACAAACAAAAAAUGUAUAAAAAGAUUAUGAUUUUAGGGGCUUCCCUGGUGGUGCAUUGCUUAAGAAUCUGCCUGCCAAUGCAGGGGACAUGGGUUAGAGUCCUGGGACGGGAAUUUCCUACAUGUCACGGUGUAACUAAACUCGCAUGCCACAACUACUGAAGCUCGCGUGCCUAGAACCCAUGCUCUGCAACAAAGAGAAGCAACAGCAAUGAGAGUCUCAUGCAGUACAACGAAGAGUAGCCCCCACUCGUGCAACUAGAGAAAGCCCGUGCACAGUAGCGAAGACCCAAUGUAGCUAUAAACAAACAUAAAUAAAUAAAUGUAUUUUUUUAAAUUGUGAUUUUAAUUGCAUUUAUUUCAGGUUCUAUUUUUUUAACCCUAUCACGCAGCACGCAUGAUCUUAGUUCUGACCAGGAAAGUAACCCAUGUGCCCUGCUGUGGAAGCCUGGAGUCCUCACCACUGGACUGUCAGGGAAUUCCCUUUGUUAAGAUUGUUGAUGUUGAAUUUUGUUUUUCAUGUUUCUAUUUUUUACCUGUGUGUCCUGACUGGUUAAAUUUCUAUUCCUAUCUUUUGCUUACUUUUAUUUUGUGAGAUAUGGCUAUUUUCUCUUUUUUUGACAAAAGAGAGCAGGUAAACAACAAAGACAUCUGUUAGAUUUCACUCAUUCAUCAAUAAUGUGAGUGAUUUCUUUUCUGAAUGUAAUUGUAAUUUGGAAUAGUGAAAGAAUAUGUUCUCAACUUUUACUCAGUUUUAUACUAUGCAUAAUGUAAUGGCCACAUACAUUAUACAGGUUUAGGAAUAAUCUGCAUUAUUAAUAUAUGCUACCUUAGUGUUAAGUCCAGACAUUCAAUUACACAGUAAAUUAAUCUCUGGUUUGUAGUGUUUGCCGGUUUCCGUGUGUAAAUAUUCCAACCAUAGCCAAGGUCAAAUUGCCAACAUAAUUUCACUGAACAUUAAUUUGGGAAGCAUUGCCAGUAGCCCACUAUUGUAUUCUUUUCCCACCAUUACAGGUAUAGUAGCUGCAAUUUUAAGAAUGUAGCUAAUAAACCAUAGUAGAAUGAUUAUAAAGUGAUAGGUUUUGCAUCUUUGUUUUGAAAAUCAUUCACUGGAUGAAUAGUUGACUUAAAUUUUGCCUAUUUAAAAUGUAAAUUUUGACAUACUUGUGUACAGCCCUCCAACCAGUUUCCUCCUGCCAUUGUUAAUUCAUCCUCAACAUUAAAAUGACUGAUGCAAGAGCAUACUCUACUUUUGUAAUAGCUAUUUUCAAAUGUAUAUAUAAAUGGAAUGACUGUGUUUGCCCCUUCCUGUAUCUUACAUCAUUUAUCGUGUUUAUGCACACUUUUUUGUGUUUCAUGAUUUACUUAAUAGUUUCUGACAUUUAUAAUCCUAGGUAUCAUGUCUUUGAAUGCAUAAUUUCUUAGAAUGCAUUUCUAAAAUAAGAGAGCCCUGGGACUACCCUGGUGGCACAGUGGUUAAGAAUCAACCUGGGCUUCCCUGGUGGCGCAGUAGUUGAGAGUCCACCUGCCAAUGCAGGGGACACACGUUCGUGCCCUGGUCCGGGAAGAUUCCACAUGCCGUGGAGCGGCUGGGCCCGUGAGCCAUGGCUGCUGAGCCUGCGCGUCCGGAGCCUGUGCUCUGCAACAGGAGAGGCCAGAACAGUGAGAGGUCCGCGUACCGAAAAAAACAAAACAAAACAAAACAAAACAAAAAUGCCUGCCAAGGACUUCCCUGUUGGUGUAGUGGUUAAGAGUCCACCUGCCAAUGCAGGGAACACAACUACUGAGCCUGCGCUCUAGAGCCCACGAGCCACAACUACUGGAGCCCAUGUGCCUAGAGCCCAUGCUCCACAACAAGAGAAACUAUGGCAAUGAGAAACCUGCACACCUCAAUGAAGAGAAACCACUACAGUGAGAAGCCUGCACACCUCAAUGAAGAAUUGCCCCCACUUGCCGCAACUAGAGAAAGCCCAUGCACAGUAAUGAAGACCCAACACAGCCAAAAAUAAAUAAAUUAAAUAAAUAAAUUAAAUAACAAACAAACUGAGACUGGAACUUCCCUGGUGGUCCAGUGGUUAAGACUCCAAUGCAGGGUGCACUGGUUCGAUCUCUGGUCAGGGGACUAAGAUCCUACAUGCUGUGUGGCAAGGCCAAAAAGAAAAAAAAAAGAAAAACAAACUGAGACCAUGAGACCACCUUACACUCAUUUGGAUGGCUAAUAUGUGAUAUAUAUAUUUGUUGUGAAAAAUGUAAGUUUUUAAUCUAAUGUAUUUUUUAAUUGAGCAUUUAUUUAAAAAAAAAACUGUAGAAUUGUUGAUGUUGCACAUCUGGUUAUACCUCAUAAUGGCCUUGUCAGUAUUCUUUGGACAAAAUUAGAAUUUUGGACUGGAUUUAUAAUAUAUAUCAGUACCAACCAUUACAUAUGUUUAUUGUUUCUCCUCCCACCAUAUGUCUCCUCUAUUUCUGCAUUCCAAACAUGGUGGAUAUCUUCAGAUCUCUGAUAACUCUGUGAAGUUAUGUGUGGGGCUCUAGAGGUGUUUUUCGUCUACCUGGAACUCCUGGAUCUGAAUAUGCUUUAAAAAUUUGUUUUUAAAGUAACCAUAUAAGAUACAAGUACAUAAAGACACAAACUUUUAUGUCUAAAUUUCCUGUUUCUUUCCAUAGUACUUACUUAAUUAAAACUUUCUGAAGAGUUGCUACUAGGUAGUAAAGUAUAAGUAGAUUAAGUAAAUUCUGUAUAACUAGAUAAAAUUUUCAUUUUCUGCAUAUUCUAUUAACUCUAGAAAUGCAAGAAUUUAUCUGUUCUUAUUCAGCAAUAUAUCCCAAUUAAUGAAUGAAAAUUGAAAGCCCCUUAGUCAAUCACCUUUUCAUUGUAUUAUUAUUUGUACCUGACCAUCACCUAAGUUAAAAAAUAAAAUUAGGGACUUCCCUGUUGGUGCAGUGAUUAAGAAUCUGCUUGCCAAUGCAGGGGAUACGGGUUCCAGCCCUGGUCCAGGAAGAUCCCACAUGCUGUGGAGCAAUUAAGCCCAUGCACCACAACUACUGAGCCUGUGCUCUAUAACCCACGAGCCACAACUACUGAGCCUGCGUACUACAACUACUGAGUCCCAUGCGUCUAGAUCCUGUUCUCUGCAACAAGAGAAGCCACCGCAAUGAGAAGCCCGAGCACCACAAUGAAGAGUAGCCGCCACUCGCCACAACUAGAGAAAGCCUGUGCACAGCAACAAAGACCCAAUGCAGAGAAAAAUAAAUAAAAAAUAAAUAAAUUUAAAACAAAUUGAGGUCCAGAGCUCUCACGUUGCUGAACUAGGAAGGAGUAGAUCCCAAAAUUUCCCUUAAAAAAAUUAAUUGAUUCACUGCAGAAAUAAGAAGACAAAUGUUUAACAAUAUUAGGAAAAUAUUUUUUUUGGAGCAGAAAUCAUAGAAAAAUCACUGCUGAUGAGAACAAAGGGGCUGAAAGCUGGGAAAUCCGGAACUAGUAGCAGAGAUGUUUCCAUCAGCCACUGGUCUGGAUUUACAAUUACAGUAACACAAAGACUCAAAAUGGAAGAGAGGCAGUAAAAAGAGAUGAAGAAACUCACCAGGAUAAGGAUGGUGCAUGUGGCUUUGGCCACGUGGGGAGGUCUGGGGUAAAGUCUGUUGCUGUGGAUGUAUUGGGCUCGCUGCUUGUAUCUGUGCAGGACAAAUAUCAUGCACCCACAAGUCCAGAUCUUGAAGCCCAAAUAACAUCCAGGGGAUAAAAUAUAAAUGCAUGUAAUAAGCCGAGAUUUCUGUCUGACGUGGCUGAGAAACCGUAUGUAAAAAUUUUUUUCACACAUUUGUGCUGUUUCUAGGACCAAUCACAUUCAUAGGAAUAUAGACAUUUACCAACAGCUGAAGGAACCAGAAAAGGAAAGUAAAGAAGCCAAUGUAUUUGGGGAGAUUGAAUUCUGAAGUCUAUCCACUAAGAGGUUCUGGGGCAAAACUUAAUGGCCAGGAAGCCAUUCAGAAGGCAGGUAGUGCCGAGAGAAACCCCCGUGGCCACUCUGUAAAUACAAGACAAAUGUAUACCCAAGAUCAUAGAGGAAGUGUUUCAAUCCAAAAGCUGUCAUUGUCUGUGGGAUCCCUCUGGAGCUAAGAGCCAAGUUGUUGGGGAGGCUAAUAAAAUAGUCUUGUUCAGGCUUCAGAGACAACAAUAGGCUUUUGACUAAACAAAGACUCUGAAAGAACUACACAUCAAGCUGCUAGACUACAUGCAGGUCAGCAGAAACGGUGCUAGUCAGUCUUGGGAUCCAACAGAUAAAGAAGGGAGUAAGUCACAAAGCUUCCUGGGACUUGGGAAUCUGGCCAGUUCCUGGAAUUCAGCGAACAUUCUGAGACUUACAACUAAAGUAUCAAAAUAUUUGCGUUAAUAGUCAGAGCUGCGUACUUGCACGCAAGCUGAUGACUAUCAGCUUGCGGCUUGGCGUUAAAAGCAGGACUCCUUUGGGCAGCACUCUGUAGUCCCACCCGUGAGGUGGACUCACCGCCCAGGACCUUUCCAACUGGGACUCCAGAUUGCUGUUCAAGGGAAUUCCUAGCUGCCACUUGGAUCUGGAAGUAGGUGUCGGCCCAAUUCGGUGAUGUAUGCUCUGUUAUAUACUCUGUUAAUAUUAUUGCUCUCCCUCUAAUGAUUGUAUAUUGAAAUUUAUAUAGUCUGUUAAUAUUCUUAUUGCUUUCUCUCUAAUGAUUGUAUAUUGAAGUUAAGUUAAAUCACUUUCUAUUAAAGAUUUGAUUGAAGCUGUU